CCCUGCCCGGCCCUACCUGGGCACCCACAGCUCGGGCCGUGCUCUGCAGAGCGCUCCGCGCCCGUCCCGCCGCGCAGGGCCGUGACCAUGGCGAGGGGCGCCGGGGCGGGCAGCGCGGGCUGAGCCCGGGGCCGCCGCCGUCCGGAGCCCUCAGGAGCGCCGGGACCGCGCCGGGCUCGGCUCCGCUGCCCGCCGGCACCGCCAGCUCCUGCCGGGAGAGGGGGAGAGAGCAGCGGCAUCGUCACCGCGGGGCUGCGGACGGCCCCCGGGCAGCGCGGAUUUGGGGUUAUUUCCCUCUCCUUUGCACAGUUUAUCACUGGUGUUCCUUGCACUGAUUCCAUGCCCCAUGGUACGCUGCUGCAGAUGCCAAAGAGAAUUGGGACAGCAUGUGGGAGAGCUGACCUCCUCUCCUGCUCUACAGAAUAUUUCCUUACAACACACCUUAUUAACCCUUACAGUGACAUAAAGCUCUCAGACUAAAAGUUCA